UAAAUAACAGAAGGUGGCAAGCCCCCUACUUCAAGGUGGAGUGUUGGACUACCAAGGCAGGACCAGCAAAGGUUUUGUGAGCUACAGGGAAUGCUUGACAUGGGGCUCCACACUGAGGACUCUCAGAGCUGCUACGAGGGACCUGAAGACCUGAGGUCUAGGGUGAGAAGCAUCUGCCUUCAUCGACUUUAUGGACAAAGAAGGAAUGGUUUUUGAGGGUGGGGAUAUUUUUUGGUGGGCUCAGCCCGUCCUCACCUGUAUGUUACUUCUUGUCACUGAGUCACUU
rnacentral:lncRNA from 1 species